rnacentral:snRNA from 1 species
AAUCUUUUGAAUGGAUUCUCUUAU